rnacentral:misc_RNA from 1 species
GAAAUGCGAUAAGUAAUGUGAAUUGCAGAAUUCAGUGAAUCAUCGAAUCUUUGAACACACAUUGCGCCCGCCAGUAUUCUGGCGGGCAUGCCUGUUCGAGCGUCAUUUCAACCAUCAAGCCCCCGGCUUGUGUUGGGGACCUGCGGCUGCCCGCAGGCCCUGAAAAACAGUGGCGGGCUCGCUGUCACACCGAGCGUAGUAGCAUACAUUCUCGCUCAGGGCGUGCUGCGGGUUCCGGCCGUUAAACGACCUUCAUAACCCAAGGUUGACCUCGGAUCAGGUAGGAAGACCCGCUGAACUUAAGC